AACGAACGCUGGCGGCAGGCCUAACACAUGCAAGUCGAACGCUCCGCAAGGGAGUGGCGCACGGGUGAGUAACACGUGGGAACCUACCUUCUGGUACGGGACAACCAAGGGAAACUUUGGCUAAGACCGUAUACGACCUCCGGGUGAAGAUUGAUCGCCGGAAGAGGGGCCCGCGUCCGAUUAGGUAGUUGGUGAGGUAACGGCUCACCAAGCCUUCGAUCGGUAGCUGGUCUGAGAGGAUGACCAGCCACACUGGGACUGAGACACGGCCCACGACUCCUACGGGAGGCAGCAGUGGGGAAGUAUUGGACAAUGGGCGCAAGCCUGAUCCAGCCAUGCCGCGUGAGUGAUGAAGGCCUCGGUUGUUAAG
rnacentral:rRNA from 1 species